AAAUUGAAGAGUUUGAUCAUGGCUCAGAUUGAACGCUGGCGGCAGGCCUAACACAUGCAAGUCGAACGGUAACAGGAAGCAGCUUGCUGCUUCGCUGACGAGUGGCGGACGGGUGAGUAAUGUCUGGGAAACUGCCUGAUGGAGGGGGAUAACUACUGGAAACGGUGGCUAAUACCGCAUAACGUCGCAAGACCAAAGAGGGGGACCUUCGGGCCUCUUGCCAUCAGAUGUGCCCAGAUGGGAUUAGCUUGUUGGUGAGGUAACGGCUCACCAAGGCGACGAUCCCUAGCUGGUCUGAGAGGAUGACCAGCCACACUGGAACUGAGACACGGUCCAGACUCCUACGGGAGGCAGCAGUGGGGAAUAUUGCACAAUGGGCGCAAGCCUGAUGCAGCCAUGCCGCGUGUAUGAAGAAGGCCUUCGGGUUGUAAAGUACUUUCAGCGGGGAGGAAGGUGUUGUGGUUAAUAACCACAGCAAUUGACGUUACCCGCAGAAGAAGCACCGGCUAACUCCGUGCCAGCAGCCGCGGUAAUACGGAGGGUGCAAGCGUUAAUCGGAAUUACUGGGCGUAAAGCGCACGCAGGCGGUCUGUCAAGUCGGAUGUGAAAUCCCCGGGCUCAACCUGGGAACUGCAUUCGAAACUGGCAGGCUUGAGUCUUGUAGAGGGGGGUAGAAUUCCAGGUGUAGCGGUGAAAUGCGUAGAGAUCUGGAGGAAUACCGGUGGCGAAGGCGGCCCCCUGGACAAAGACUGACGCUCAGGUGCGAAAGCGUGGGGAGCAAACAGGAUUAGAUACCCUGGUAGUCCACGCCGUAAACGAUGUCUACUUGGAGGUUGUGCCCUUGAGGCGUGGCUUCCGGAGCUAACGCGUUAAGUAGACCGCCUGGGGAGUACGGCCGCAAGGUUAAAACUCAAAUGAAUUGACGGGGGCCCGCACAAGCGGUGGAGCAUGUGGUUUAAUUCGAUGCAACGCGAAGAACCUUACCUGGUCUUGACAUCCACAGAACUUUCCAGAGAUGGAUUGGUGCCUUCGGGAACUGUGAGACAGG
rnacentral:rRNA from 2 species